rnacentral:rRNA from 1 species
GUGGGGAAUCUUGCGCAAUGGGCGAAAGCCUGACGCAGCCAUGCCGCGUGAAUGAUGAAGGUCUUAGGAUUGUAAAAUUCUUUCACCGGGGAAGAUAAUGACGGUACCCGGAGAAGAAGCCCCGGCUAACUUCGUGCCAGCAGCCGCGGUAAUACGAAGGGGGCUAGCGUUGCUCGGAAUUACUGGGCGUAAAGGGCGCGUAGGCGGACAUUUAAGUCAGAGGUGAAAGCCCAGGGCUCAACCUUGGAAUUGCCUUUGAUACUGGAUGUCUUGAGUUCGGGAGAGGUGAGUGGAAUGCCGAGUGUAGAGGUGAAAUUCGUAGAUAUUCGGCGGAACACCAGUGGCGAAGGCGACUCACUGGCCCGAUACUGACGCUGAGGCGCGAAAGCGUGGGGAGCAAACAGGAUUAGAAACCCGAGUAGUCC